rnacentral:lncRNA from 1 species
UAAAUGGAGUAUGAGCAAGUCUUAAAUGCCAAAUGUAACUCAUGUUAGUUGUAACAACAUUAUUACAGAUGGAACUAUUUACAUGUGAAGGCAAUGGAACAGCCUUGCUAUCAGACAAAAUGUCAUCAUUACAAGAAGCAGGCACAGAAGGCAAUGGAACAGCCUUGCUAUCAGACAAAAUGUCAUCAUUACAAGAAGCAGACAC